UCGAGUUCUGAACCUCACAGUUCAACUCCCACCCUUUGUGUAUCUACCUGUUGCUUCGGCAGGACGUUCCUUCUGGGACCGUCGGCUCUGCGGGCGAGUUCCUGCCGAAGGAUCUAAACUCUUUACUUUAUUGUCUGAGUCUUAUUAAAAAAUCA
rnacentral:misc_RNA from 1 species